AGAUUGAACGCUGGCGGCAUGCCUUACACAUGCAAGUCGAACGGCAGCACGGGAGCAAUCCUGGUGGCGAGUGGCGAACGGGUGAGUAAUACAUCGGAACGUGCCCAAUCGUGGGGGAUAACGCAGCGAAAGCUGUGCUAAUACCGCAUAAGAUCUACGGAUGAAAGCAGGGGAUCGCAAGACCUUGCGCGAAUGGAGCGGCCGAUGGCAGAUUAGGUAGUUGGUGAGGUAAAGGCUCACCAAGCCUUCGAUCUGUAGCUGGUCUGAGAGGACGACCAGCCACACUGGGACUGAGACACGGCCCAGACCU
rnacentral:rRNA from 1 species